rnacentral:pre_miRNA from 1 species
AGCUGGUUUCUCCUCUGGUGAUAAAUCCAGCAGUGCUUAUCACCGGGAGUAAAUCUGCUCG